AGUCAAAUUUCUGCCCAUGUAAAGCCCUCGUUUAUCUAAUUCACACCUGUGCUUAUCCCACUAUGGCCAUCCAGAUACUCUGCUGUGUGAUCUUUUGUGUUCUCAUAGCAAAUCACACAGAUGCUGGAGUUACCCAGUCACCCAGUUAUGAGGUGAUAAAGAAUGGACAAACAGCAACUUUGAAGUGUGAGCCGAUUUCAGGUCACAAUGACCUUUUCUGGUACAGACAGACCAAGAGACAGGGACUAGAGCUGCUGAGCUACUUCCGCAGCAAAUCUCUUAUGGAAGAUGGAGGGGCAUUCAAGGAUCGAUUCAAAACGGAGAUGCCAGAUUCAUCCUCCUCCACUCUGAAGAUUCAACCCACAGAACUUCAGGACUCAGCUGUGUAUCUGUGUGCCAGCAGUUUAGCCACAGAGCUACACAAAGAUGCCCUGCCAGUACAAAAAGAGUUGUAUCCUCCUCUCCCUCCAGCCCCUAGCAGUUCUGAAGUUUUCGGUGCUCCUUCAUUAAAACAAAACAAAUAAAAACAACAAGGGAUA